CAGAAGCUCCACCCCUCGGCAGCUGCAGUCAGGCCCUAUCUGGGCCUUUCCAGAAGCAACUCAGGAGCCCCAAGACCUGCAGGGGUAUGUGCACCCUGACCCCUGAUGCAUAGCCCUGCACCUGCAACCAGCUGGCCUCGGGCUGCAAACAAGGCGGGGACUUACUGUCUUGUCAUCCCCUGGACCCAAGAUGAGGGUGCUAGGACGCCCUCCCACACCACCCCAGCUUACCCAGGGGCACACCUCAGGAAAUUUCCCCUAAAGACCUGAGGAAUCACCGAAUGAAAGGGGCUUUUUACAAACUGGAAACUUAAGUGGAGUGCCAAUACACAACAUGGAUUGCACCAGGCUAGGUCUAAGAUAAAACCAGACUGUGGACAACAGGACAGAUAAGACACACAUGGCUCUGCACUGCCUGGGUCUGUUAUUGUGUGGAGGAAUGUCUUAGUCUGUUGCUCCUGUGGGUGUCGCUAAAGCACGAACCAGGGGUCUUCAUCCUUAGAAAGCAGUUAGACACCUGAGAACCAAUCCCAAACUGCAGCCUUCCACAGAACCUUCUGGAACCUUCUGGAAUGCAACUCAUUACUGCCAGAGGCUCUUUGAUGAGAGUCUACUCUCCACCAUUUGUCUUCAAAGAGAAUACCCACAUAUUAUCUUUCUGUGGAAAGGCUUGGAAAUCUAGUGUAUAUUUUACACUAAGAGCAUAUCUCAAU
rnacentral:lncRNA from 10 species